UUCAUUGAUGGAUUGGGAGUAUAUAUACCCCUGGUACAAGGCAGUUACAAAAGAGGCAGUUGCUACUAGUAGCAACCGACAUAGCGGGAUUAACCCUUUAAUUAAUCUAAUUAAUUUAUUUCUAACAAGCACGAUAGCCCCGACGUCCUCAUCACAUUCCCCCUCCCCUGUCAUCUCUCUCGCUCUAUUUCUCUCUCUCCCGCCAAGACCCGAGCGCCACCGCAAGCGCCGCUCGCCGUAUUCACGGCUACCGGCCCCUGCUCGCUCCCCUGUGCAUGCCAGAAGAACCACAGCGACUCCCUCAUCCUUCCAGCAAAGGGAAUCGAAGACAGGAGCCCUGUAGCGCCAUCACCGCCACAAUUUCCAUCUCCGGCCGCCAGAGACAUCCGUUGUUGAUGCGCAAGGAUUUGAGCUCCCCCGAGAUCCCCGUCACCUCCAGCCGCCUCGUGGGAUAGACGUUGUUCUCUCUACGUUUACCUCUUGACGUUAACAUGGAUGGAUUAGCUUGGGAACCCACAUAGUGAUGUGGCUCCUAUGGUAGGGUCAUUGUAGCUUUUCACGCUCUUCCAGCUGCUUUUAGUAGAUGUCUGUACCCAGACCUGUAACUUCCGCUUGAUGUUUGUAUGCUCUGAAUGUUGGUUCAUGUGACCCACUCUGUUCGUAACAUUAUACUAUGUUGGCUCUUUGGAGCCUUAUAAAUAAAUGAUGUGUUGUAGAGUUA